ACAUAAUAAGUAUUCCAAAAAGCUAUUACAUCAAAUGAGUGGCUUUGUGGGCAUACUUCCAACACAUUCACCAUCCUCUACCAUAUUUUCACUACACCAUUCACCCAACAUCCCUCAUUGUGCCGUGAGUUUGCAAGGAAAAGAAGGAAGAACUCUUGGAGCCGUGCAUGCCAUUCAAGGAGCUUGGAUUGUGGAGCGAUUCUAGGUGUUUUCUAUCUUUGUUAGAAUGUUUAAAUUUAUUUAUCUUUGUUUAUUUGCGAACAUGAG
rnacentral:lncRNA from 1 species